rnacentral:rRNA from 1 species
ACACGCAUGACACACUGCAUAUCAAUAAGCGGAGGAAAAGAAACUAACAAGGAUUCCCUUAGUAACGGCGAGUGAAGCGGGAAGAGCUCAAAUUUGAAAUCUUCAAGGUUUUACCUUGACGAAUUGUAGUUUAAAGAAGUGUUUUCUGUUGAAGUUUUGGUAAAAGUUCUUUGGAAUAGGACAUCAUAGAGGGUGAGAAUCCCGUAUUUGACCAUUAUUUUCAGCUGUGUGAUACACUUUCAAAGAGUCGGAUUGUUUGGGAAUGCAGUCCAAAAUGGGUGGUAAAUUUCAUCUAAAGCUAAAUAUUGGCGAGAGACCGAUAGCGAACAAGUACCGUGAGGGAAAGAUGAAAAGAACUUUGAAAAGAGAGUUAAACAGUACGUGAAAUUGUCAAAAGGGAAGCGUUUGACACCAGUGUUGUUUUCUCGAAAAUCAAUUAAAAAAAGUUGGAUUUUGUGUUGUAUUGACCUUAACAGCUUUCUUCACUCUUUUCCUGCUUUUUUUAAUGCACUUUUCGUUUAACAAGUCAACAUCAGUUUCUUUUGUUGUAAAAAGGUCAUUGGAAGGUGGCUUUCUUUUCGGAGAAAGUGUUUAUAGCCUUUGAUCCCUGCAAUCGGAGAGACUGAGGUCUGCAGCGUAGAUCCUUCGGGGUUAGAUACAUUUGUGCUAAGCUAUAGCUUUUUAUAGACAACUUGUUGACUAUAUUUAGUCUUGUAGCUUACUCGCUUAUGCUAUUUUACCUACGCUUAGGAUGUUGAGCGCAUGUCUCUCUCU